AUAUAUACUCUCUCCUCCUCCUCUGUUUUUCCUCACUCUCCAAACUCAACAGCUCAAAUCAAUCUCAUCCUCUCGCUCUGAAUUUGUCAUCACAUCGUUCUCCGACCAAUUUCCGAUAAUGGGAUUCCCUCUUUCCCCCCAAUGUCUCGUCCUUUAUCUUGUUCUUCUCCAAGUGAGCUUCGCCAAUGUUUGUUGGGGAUCGAGGAAGCUCGCUGCCCUGUACCAACCGCCUCCCAUGGUGGCGAAGUACCACAAGGGCCUCUUGCUCGACGGCGACCUCCGCGUCUCCGUCAUCUGGUACGGCAAGUUCACGCCCGCCCAGAAAUCGAUCAUCUCCGACUUCCUCCUCUCUCUCACUCCCCAGCAGACCCAACACCAGUCGCCAUCAUCCGUCCCCUCUGCGGCGAAAUGGUGGGGCACCGUCCAAACCUACCUGCAGAAGGCCGGCAAGAAACAGUCCCGCGUCGCGUUGGCGAGCCAGUUCGACGACGAGAGCUGCUCCAUGGGCAAAUUGCUGAAGCGGACUCAGAUCACCGAGCUGGCGCAGAAGCUCAGCUCGGGGCCCGGCGCGGGCGAGCUGGCCCUCGUCCUCACGGCCCAGGACGUCGCCGUCGAGGGCUUCUGCGUCAGCGGCUGCGGCACCCACGGCUCCGUCGGGCGGCGGCCGUUCAUCUGGGUCGGCAACUCGGCGACCCAGUGCCCUGGGCAGUGCGCGUGGCCUUUCCACCAGCCGAUCUACGGCCCGCAGUCGCCGCCGCUCGGCGCGCCCAACGGCGACGUGGGGGCCGACGGGAUGGUGAUCAACGUCGCGAGCCUCCUGGCCGGGACGGUGACGAACCCGUUCGGGAACGGGUACUCGGUCGGCGCGGCCGGUGCGCCGACGGACGUGGCGUCGGCUUGCACGGGGAGCUUCGGGAAGGGGUCGUACCCGGGGUACGCCGGGGAGCUGCUGGUGGACUCGGGGACGGGCGGGAGUUACAACGCGCAGGGGGUGAACGGGAGAAAGUAUCUGUUGCCCGCGCUGUUUGACCCGACGACGUCGCAGUGUUCUACGAUGGUGUGAGAGACCCUGUUGAGAUGACACGUGGCUUCCUGCUGUAUAGUUGCCUGUUCUGUACAUAAUGAUGUCAUAAAACGACAGAUCGGAAGAGCAGUCG